GAGCUUGCAAGCAGUUUGCCGCCCUAAGGGAACUCUCUGAAUAACCUACACAUGUGCAGUGAGAAUUGCUAUUCUCUACCUGGGGCACAAGAAGCAUAUGGCUUAGUAGGAAUGGGCUCAGACUUGGUGCUUGGAACUGAAGAUGCCUUCUAGAGUG